GUGGGGAAUUUUGGACAAUGGGCGCAAGCCUGAUCCAGCCAUGCCGCGUGCAGGAAGACGCAUCUAUGGUGUGUAAACUGCUUUUGUACGGGAAGAAACACUCCCUCGUGAGGGAGCUUGACGGUACCGUAAGAAUAAGGAUCGGCUAACUCCGUGCCAGCAGCCGCGGUAAUACGGAGGAUCCAAGCGUUAUCCGGAAUCAUUGGGUUUAAAGGGUCCGUAGGCGGUUUAAUAAGUCAGUGGUGAAAGCCCAUCGCUCAACGAUGGAACGGCCAUCGAUACUGUUAGACUUGAAUUACAAGGAAGUAACUAGAAUAUGUAGUGUAGCGGUGAAAUGCUUAGAUAUUACAUGGAAUACCAAUUGCGAAGGCAGGUUACUACUUGUGGAUUGACGCUGAUGGACGAAAGCGUGGGGAGCGAACAGGAUUAGAAACCCCAGUAGUCC
rnacentral:rRNA from 1 species